GGACCCGCACAAGCAGUGGAGCAUGUGGUUUAAUUCGAAGAUACGCGCAGAACCUUACCAACACUUGACAUGUUCGUCGCGAGACUAAGAGAUUAGUCUUUUCAGUUCGGCUGGACGAAACACAGGUGCUGCAUGGCUGUCGUCAGCUCGUGUCGUGAGAUGUUGGGGUUAAGUCCCGCAACGAGCGCAACCCCUACUUUUAGUUGCCAUCAUUUAGUUGGGCACUCUGAAAAGAACUGCCAGUGAUAAGCUGGAGGAAGGUGGGGGAUGACGUCAAGUCCUCAUGGCCCCUUACGUGUUGGGGCUACACACGUGCUACAAUGGCUGGUACAGAGGGCUGCGAAACCCCGCGAGGGC
rnacentral:rRNA from 1 species